GAUGAACGCUAGCGACAGGCUUAACACAUGCAAGUCGAGGGGUAACAGGGUGUAGCAAUACACCGCUGACGACCGGCGCACGGGUGAGUAACGCGUAUGCAACCUGCCUUUGACAGAGGGAUAGCCCAUGGAAACGUGGAUUAAUACCUCAUAGUCUCUUUUUCCUUCCUGGGGAAUAGAGUAAAACGAGAGUGGUCAAAGAUGGGCAUGCGUCCUAUUAGGCAGUUGGCGGGGUAACGGCCCACCAAACCGAUGAUAGGUAGGGGUUCUGAGAGGAAGGUCCCCCACACUGGUACUGAGACACGGACCAGACUCCUACGGGAGGCAGCAGUGAGGAAUAUUGGUCAAUGGUCGAGAGACUGAACCAGCCAAGUCGCGUGAGGGAUGACUGCCCUAUGGGUUGUAAACCUCUUUUCUACUGGGAGAAUAAGCCCUAUGUAUAGGGUGAUGACAGUACAGUAGGAAUAAGCAUCGGCUAACUCCGUGCCAGCAGCCGCGGUAAUACGGAGGAUGCGAGCGUUAUCCGGAUUUAUUGGGUUUAAAGGGUGCGUAGGCGGCUUUAUAAGUUAGUGGUAAAAUUUCGGAGCUUCACUCCGGUCCGCCAUUAAAACUGUAGAGCUAGAGAAUGGACGAGGUAGGCGGAAUAAGUUAAGUAGCGGUGAAAUGCAUAGAUAUAACUUAGAACUCCGAUAGCGAAGGCAGCUUACCAGACCAUAACUGACGCUGAUGCACGAGAGCGUGGGUAGCGAACAAGAUUAGAUACCCUGGUAGUCCACGCCGUAAACGAUGCUCACCGGCCCUUAGCGAUAAGACAGUUAGGGGUUAAAUUGAAAGAAUUAAGUGAGCCACCUGGGGAGUACGUCGGCAACGAUGAAACUCAAAGGAAUUGACGGGGGCGCGCACAAGCGGAGGAGACAUGUGGUUUAAUUCGAUGAUACGGGAGGAACCUUACCUGGGUUUAAAUGUAUGUUGCAUAAUCUGGAAACAGUUUUUGUCUUCGGAGCUAUAUACAAGGUGCUGCAUGGUUGUCGUCAGCUCGUGCCGUGAGGUGUCGGGUUAAGUCCCAUAACGAGCGCAACCCUUACCGUUAGUUGCUAGCAUGUAAUGAUGAGCACUCUAGCGGGACUGCCACCGUAAGGUGAGAGGAAGGGGGGGAUGACGUCAAAUCAGCACGGCCCUUACAUCCAGGGCGACACACGUGUUACAAUGGCCAUAACAGCGGGUAGCUACCGGGCGACCGGAUGCAAAUCUCGAAAAUUGGUCUAAGUUCGGAUUGGAGUCUGCAACCCGACUCCAUGAAGUUGGAUUCGCUAGUAAUCGCGCAUCAGCCAUGGCGCGGUGAAUACGUUCCCGGGCCUUGUACACACCGCCCGUCAAGCCAUGGAAGCUGGGAGUAAAUGAAGUCCGUAACCGCGAGGA
rnacentral:rRNA from 1 species